rnacentral:rRNA from 1 species
GACGUAGGGCGCGAGCGUUGUCCGGAUUUAUUGGGCGUAAAGAGCUCGUAGGCGGCUUAGUAAGUCGGGUGUGAAACCUCCAGGCUCAACCUGGAGACGCCACCCGAUACUGCUGUGGCUAGAGUCCGGUAGGGGAGCGUGGAAUUCCUGGUGUAGCGGUGAAAUGCGCAGAUAUCGGGAGGAACACCAAUUGCGAAGGCAGCUCGCUGGGACGUUACUGACGCUGAGACGCGAAAGCAUGGGGAGCGAACAGG